CUGGCAACUCUAGUUCUCAGCAUGUUCUGAGGGAAGGAGAGUGUGGCACACAGGAAACUCAGUGCAACCCUGGGAGCAAGCAUCAAGCUGUUUCUCCCUCUGGAUCCUUGAGGAGGGGUUGUAGGGAUUCCUGGGAGGAUUGCACCAGCAUUUGGUCUGAAGUUUUUCUUCUGAGUCUGCAUUUCUUCAGUUAAAACUUUGUUUCCUUUUACAUCACAGUCAGUCCACUUUGAUAACACUCAACAGUUAUGCGGGAGCCAGCAGUCAGCUCCGAGGACCCUGACUGGGGACAGAAGAGGCAUGCGCCUUCCUGGUCUGGUGUGGAGAUCCUGGACUUCACUGAGGUCUGGGGAGAGGAGGCAACCCUCCAGGAUCUCGAUGGCUGACAGCCUGGCCACCAAUGGCCACAUGUCCACCAAGAAGCAGGUAUGCAUGAAGGUAAAGGAGCUAAGGCAGGCCUAUACCAAGGACAGGGAGUGAACUCCCGCUCUGAGGCAGCACCACAGGCCUGCCCAUACUACACCCAGCUCCACCAGCAUCCUAGGGGGCAGGUCGGUCCCUUGCCCCACUCUCAUUAUGGACUCAGAACUGGAGAUGCCUGUCGUCGCCCUCCUGGGGGACACAGCCAGUGAGGAAGAGGUGGAGGAGGAGCUGGACGAAGCUAGCACCAGCUCAGUGCCUGCUGCCAAGAGGUCUUACUCGCCCUAGAGCUUGCACCCCCCACCCAGGAUGUCUCCCAGGCAUCAUCCGAAGCCGGGGAAGGCCCCUCAGGUGAGUGUCAUUACUUUCCCUAGAUACACAUGGGUGGAGGUGGUGCG